CUCUGCUUGUUUUGGCUCCUUUUAAUUGAUGCAUUAUUUUUGUCUAUUAAUGUGUACCCAGGUGACUAUGUGAGUUGCAUUGACAGAAUCCAUGUAUUAAGCUGGGGCAUUUUUGGCAGCUGCAGCAACCUGACAAUUCAUUUGUUCUCAUACAAGAUGCUUGUGAAGUACAUGGGGAAGGCGCGCAUGGUUGAUGAUUAUGUUCUGGAUUGGAGGCCGAAGCAAACUCCGUCAGGUUUCAGAUAAUUACUUCAGGUUAGGC